GAGUUUGAUCCUGGCUCAGGACGAACGCUGGCGGCGUGCCUAACACAUGCAAGUCGAACGGAACUGUUUUGAAAGAUUUCUUCGGAAUGAAUUUGAUUUAGUUUAGUGGCGGACGGGUGAGUAACGCGUGAGUAACCUGCCUUCAAGAGGGGGAUAACAUUCUGAAAAGAAUGCUAAUACCGCAUGAUAUAUCGGAACCACAUGGUUCUGAUAUCAAAGAUUUUAUCGCUUGAAGAUGGACUCGCGUCCGAUUAGUUAGUUGGUGAGGUAACGGCUCACCAAGACCGCGAUCGGUAGCCGGACUGAGAGGUUGAACGGCCACAUUGGGACUGAGACACGGCCCAGACUCCUACGGGAGGCAGCAGUGGGGAAUAUUGCACAAUGGGGGAAACCCUGAUGCAGCGACGCCGCGUGGAGGAAGAAGGUCUUCGGAUUGUAAACUCCUGUUGUUGAGGAAGAUAAUGACGGUACUCAACAAGGAAGUGACGGCUAACUACGUGCCAGCCGCCGCGGUAAUUC
rnacentral:rRNA from 1 species